AAUAUUGCACAAUGGGCGCAAGCCUGAUGCAGCAACGCCGCGUGGAGGAAGACGGUUUUCGGAUUGUAAACUCCUGUUCUUAGUGAAGAAGAAUGACGGUAGCUAAGGAGCAAGCCACGGCUAACUACGUGCCAGCAGCCGCGGUAAUACGUAGGUGGCAAGCGUUGUCCGGAAUUACUGGGUGUAAAGGGAGCGCAGGCGGGAGACCAAGUCAGCUGUGAAAACUACGGGCUUAACCUGUAGACUGCAGUUGAAACUGGUUUUCUUGAGUGAAGUAGAGGUUGGCGGAAUUCCGAGUGUAGCGGUGAAAUGCGUAGAUAUUCGGAGGAACACCGGUGGCGAAGGCGGCCAACUGGGCUUUAACUGACGCUGAGGCUCGAAAGUGUGGGGAGCGAA
rnacentral:rRNA from 1 species